CUGACUGUCACUUCUCAGAUUUGUGCAGACUUCACAACGCAGAAUACCAAGUCACGACAGGAGAGAUGGAGAGAGACUGGGAGCAUGAGAGAAGCUGCAAGUCUAAAACGAAUGGGAGGACACCAGGAUAGUAAGGUUGACGGGGGUGGGCAUCUAUUACGUCAAAGGAAAGGGAGGACGUGCUGCACAGGAUUCCUCAUCAGUUGAUGUCAGCGUUUCGGCACAGGGGAGUGAUUUAAGAGGGCAUGGCGUUCUUGUCGUGCACCCACCCCUCCGAGGCUGUUCCAGUCUGCCAGUCCCGCUACGCUCUGCACUGCAAUUUCUUUCAAAGAUUUCACAGAAUACAAAGCUGGACUUAAUAUCGCUCUCAUAGCCGCUUGCUCCCAUGGAGAGCGCCUGAAAUGCAGCGAGGGUGAGGCGGGCCAGGCGGUGUACUGUAGCAGUGUGGACCUCCAAGGUUGUAGCAACAUACCUUCCCCAUGGUGGGUCCUGGG
ensembl:lncRNA